AUCUUUGCAACGAAGAUGUCAGUCCCAGAUACGCAUGUGCUGUUAGCCUGGAUAGCUUGGUCUUUAGAUGGCCCAGCAAUCACAACUGCUAAAAGGUGAUCUGUUGGUGCCCAUUUUGGAAUCGGGUUUUCCUGGAACUGAAAGAACGAACAGUGAGAGAUGGCAGAGCAGGUUCAAGUUCCAACUGAUUACUGGAUUCAUUAAAAAUGAGCUGUCUGAAGCAAACAAUAUAAGCAAACCCUGGAGAAAACAGAGAGAGGAAGUGUUGUUUUUUUUCCUUUAUAUGAUUUUCCCAUUAGCAGGGUAAGCAUUUUGAACUAUUUCAAGACGUUUUUAUUUUGUUUGUAAAUAAGCAUGCACUUGUUCUGGGAUUUUAGUCCCUAACUGUCUGCUUUGUCCAAGGGAGAAAGGCAAAAACAUGAGUGAAGCCCAAACAAUAAAACCUCAGCAAUGGAUCAGGCUGGUUAUUAUUACAUGAUUUCAGGCUUUGAAAGGUCAUGUAUGUUUUUCAAGCUGGAUUUAUUUUUUAUACUUAUUUGUAAUAUUACUUCGCUGUGUUUCAUAAUGUCAGGAAAAAUGUCUGGUUUCAGGCCUAAAAUGUCAAAGCAGCAUUUUCAAAAGCACUCAGCACUGGGCCAAAUGUUUUUCUGUUGGAAUCAGCGGUAGCAAUCUCUUCCACAGUCCUAUUCUUUGUGGCAGCAUUUCUAGUAAGAAAGAUAAAAGCAUGGCAGAUAUGAAUCCUGGAUUAACUUCCUAUGCUUCCUAUGACUACAGGUUAAAUCACAGAACUAUUUUAUGCCUCAGUUUACAUCUAAGUGAAGCAUAAAAUCCCUAUCUCAGAGGGUUUGCAGUUCACCAACCACUGGGAAUGGCAAAACUGCUGCUGAAACAAGUGCCAAAUAUAUAUCAUGAAAGAACAGUCCCUAUAGUGUGGUGAGGAGUAAUAUAGAUGCAGCUGAUGCAAUCUAGAUAUAUAUCUCCACCUGGCCACCAUGUUAGUGAAUUAUUCUGGAUGACACUGUAACAACCAAGAACUCCUCUAGCAAGCAGAAUCACAAAGAUGAGAAUCUAUUGCUGAUUUUCCCUUUCUAAGUGGUUUUGCUGCUGAAUUUGUCAUGAUGAGGACAAAAAA